GCCGGUGACAAACCGGAGGAAGGUGGGGAUGACGUCAAGUCCUCAUGGCCCUUAUGGGUAGGGCUUCACACGUAAUACAAUGGCGCGUACAGAGGGUUGCCAACCCGCAAGGGGGAGCUAAUCUCAGAAAGCGCGUCGUAGUCCGGAUCGGAGUCUGCAACUCGACUCCGUGAAGUCGGAAUCGCUAGUAAUGGCGGAUCAGCAUGUCGCGGUGAAUACGUUCCCGGGUCUUGUACACACCGCCCGUCACACCAUGGGAGUGGGUUCCACCAGAAGCAGGUAGUCUAACCGCAAGGAGGGCGCUUGCCACGGUGAGAUUCAUGACUGGGGUGAAGUCGUAACAAGGUA
rnacentral:rRNA from 1 species